GUAAUAGCCCACACCCACCUCUGGAGCCUGAGAUGGAAGUGGUGGCUCACACCUGGCCCCAGAGUGCAUGUAGGUGGUAUCCCAUUGCCUCAGAGAUGUGCAUGUGGGAGACAGAAGCUCCUAUGAGUUGCGCCCCUCCCCUCACAUACUCCCUCAACAGUGGCACCUCGCCUCUCUGGUGGGCCCAGGCUUCUUCUACGUAUACACUUGGUUACAGCCAUGCCACAAUUUAGCUUCUUCAGGGUGUGUACAUGCAGCCAACCCCAAUCCUCUCCCCAGGUCUGAUCUUCAAGGCCUUAUCUUCAGCACCCAGCCCCCACCUGCACUGGGGAUGAAAGUCCCAGCCUUGGGAGCACAGUAUAGUGACACCAAUUACCUGUGCAAGUUUUUCUCCAUUUUGCCUUCUGUAAACCAGUUAUUUCACUCUCCUCCAAGACCCUGAAGUUCCUCCUUCAUUCUGGCUAAUUUCUUCACCAGUGAGGGGACUUCCCAGGGUUGCGGGAACAUUUCCUUUUUCAUAGCUUCCUCCCAGGGGUGCAAGUCACAUCCCAAUUCUUUCUCUUUUUCUUUUUUCUUUUGUCUACUCAGUUAUGUGGAGAUUUUCUUGCCUUUUCGUAAGUCCCAGGUCUUCUGCCCAUGUUCAGUGGAUGUUCUGUGAGAAUCUUUCCACAUGUAGAUAUAUCCUUGAUAUAUUUGUGGAAGGAGAUGAGCUCCACAUCCCAUGCUUCCACUAGCUUGAUCUCUCUAUCCCACAGGUAUUGAAUCAAUGUGUUUUUGUUUUCAAUAGUAUCUAUGCAUUUAUUUCCUCUUUGCUUUUUCAAUGGUCCAUUGAUCUUUUAGUAGUAUAUUGUUUAGUCUCUGUGUGUGUGUGCACGCGUGUGUGUGUGUAUAGUUGAUUUAUAAUCUCAUAGUGUUAUGAUCAGAAAAGAUGUAUGAUUUGAUUUCAAGGCUUACUUUGUGACCUAGCAUGUGAUCUAUCUUGGAGAUUGUUCCAAGUGCAUUUGAAAAAAUGUGAAAUCUCUGGCUCUUGCAUGGAAUCCUCUAUAAGUAACAAUGAAGUCUAACUGGUCUAAUGCCUGUGUUUAUUGAUUUUCUAUUUGUAUAAUCUGUCCAUUGAUAUAAGCAAAAUGUUAAAGACCCCCACAAUAUUUGUAUUACUGUUGAAUUUUCUUUUUGUGGAUGUUAGCAUUUGCGUUAUACAUUGAGGUAGUCUUAUGCUGGGUGCAAAUAUUUUUUACAAUUGUUAUAUCUCCUAUAUCUUCUUCUUGGAUUGAUCCCUUGAUCAUUAUGUAGCGUCCUUCUUUGUCUCUUGUAAGAGUCUUUGUUUUAAAGCCUAUUUUGUCUUAUAUGGGUAUUGCUACUCCAGAUUUCCUUUUAUUUCCAUUUCCAUCCCUUCAGUAUUGGUCUGUGUCCCCAGAGCUGAAAUGAGCCUCUUCGUAGACUGCAUAUAUAUGGGUCUCGUUUUUAUAUCCAUUCAGCUAGUCUGUAUCUUUUUGUUGGAGCAUUUAAUCUGUUUACAUUUAAGGUAAGUAAUAUGUGUUCUUGUUGCCAUUUUGUUAACUUUUUAGGAUUUGUUUUUUUCAGUCUUUUUACCCUUACUCUUUUGUUCUUUUCUCUUGUGAUUUGAUGAAUAUCUUUAGUGUUGUGUUUGGAUUCCUUUUUCUUUGUGUGUGUGUGUAUAUUUAUUAUUUAUUUUUGGUUACCACAAGGUUUGACAUAGCAGUUUAUUUAUAUGCAAGAUUGUUUGAAGUUGCUGGGCUCUUACUUUCAAGCACUUCCAAUGCUCUGCAUUUGUACUCUCUUCUCAUGAUGGCUAGUUUUGAUAUAAUAUUUGUGUGUGGAUGAUUUCCCAUCUUUACUGUAUUUUUGACUUUACUGGUUAGCUUUCCCAUUUUGUAAUUUUCUUGCUUCUAGUUGUGUGUUUUCUUUUCCACCUAGAGAAGUUCCUUUAAUAAUUAUCAUAAAGGUUCUUUAGUGGAGCUGAAUUAUUUUAGUUUUUGCUUGUCUGUAAACCUUUUUAUUUCUUCACAUCUUAAAGAGACCCUUACUAUGUGGAGUAUUCUUGGUGUUGAAGUUUUUUCCCUUUCACCACUUUAAAUAAUUCAUGCCACUCCCUCUGGCCUACAGAGUUUCUCCUAAAAAUUAGCUCACAACCUUUGGAGGAGUCCCCUUUAUGUUAUUUAUUAUUUUUCCCUCAUUGCUUUUAAUAUUUUCUCUUUGUCUUAAUUCUUGUCAACUUGAUAAAUAUGUGUCUGAGCAUAUUCCUCCUUGGCUUUAUCCUGUAUGGAAUGCUCAGCAUUCCUGGACUUGAAUGAGUGAUUCCUUUCCCAUGUUAGGGAAGGUUUGGGCUAUUAUCUCCUCAAAUAUUUUAUCCAGGCUCUUUCUCUCUUCUCCUCUGGGACCCCUAUAACACAUACGCUGGUGCUUUUAAUGUUGUCCCAGAGGUCUCUCAAACAAUCCUCAUUCUUUUCAUUCUUUUUUUAUUCUGUCCCACAGCAGCGAUUUCAACCAUUCUUUCUUCCAUCUCACUAACCUAUUUUUCAUUUAUUCUGCUAUUUAUUUCUUCUAGAGUUUUUUUUUUCAUUUUGGUUAUGUAUUCCUCUCUGUCUGUUCUUUAAAUCUUCUAGCUCUUUGUUGAACAUUUCUUGUAUUUUCUCAGUCUGUGUCUCCAUUCUUUUUAUGAGAUCUUGGAUCAUGUUUCCUAUCAUUACUCUAAAUUCUUUUUUGGGCAGAUUGCCUAGCUUCACUUUAUUUAGUUGUUCUUCUGGAGUUUUAUCUUGUUCCUCUAGAUAAUAUUCUUCUGUCAUCUCAUUUUGUCUAAAUUUUUGUGUUUGUAGUUUCAUUUUCAUAGGCUUCAGGACUGUAGAUCCUCUUGCUUCUGGUGUCUGCCCCUUGAUGGGUGAGACUGGUCUAGAAGCUCAUGCUGUCUUCCUGGUGGGAGGGAUUGGAGCCUGCCCAGUGGUGGGUGGGGCUGGGUCUUGUCCCUCUGAUUGACAAGGCCAUGUCAAGGGGUAUGUUUAGAGGCAGCUAUGAGCCCAGGAAUACUUUUGGCAACAUGUCUCCUGAGGAGUGGAGCAGUGUUCCUUCCCUGUUAUUUGUUUGGCCUGGGCAUCUCACACUGGAGCUACAGGCUCUUGGUUGGGGGCAUGCCAAAAUGGUGACCUCCAUGAGAUCCCAUGCUGAUGAGUAUCCCUAGGAUAUCCACCACCAGUGUCCUUGUCCCCACAGUGAGUUACAGUCUCCCCCCACCUCUUCAGGAGACCAUGCAAGACCACCAGUUAUGUCUUGUCAGGUUCCUACAGAGCAGAGUCACUGCUUUGCCCUGGGUCCCAGUGCACAUGAAGACUUGUAUGCACCCUCCAAGAGUGGACUCUCUGUUUUUCCCAGCCCUGUGGAGCUCCUGCACUCAAGCCCUACUGGUUUUCAAAGUCAAAUGCUCCAGGGGCUCCUCCUCCUCCUGACAACAGACCCCCAGCCUGGGAAGCCUGCUGUGGAGCUCAGAACAUUCAUUCCUUUGGGAUAAGCUGUGCAAUAUCAUAAUUUUCUAGUUUGUAGGUCACUCACCCACCUGGCGAGUAUGAGAUUUUAUUAUAUUGUGUAUGUGACCCUCCUACUGUCUCAUUGUGGCUUCUUUGUCUGGAUGUAGAAUAUAUUUUUGGUAGGAUCCAGUCUUUUUUGUUGAUGGUUGUCCAGCAGUUAGUUGUGAUUUUGAUAUUUUUGUGAGAGGACGAGUGCUCAGGGUCCUUUUACUCUGCCAUCUUGUCUCCCCCAUCCUCUUCAGUUUGUUAAUGUUGUGUAUCACACAGAUUGAUUUACAGCUAUUGAAAAAUCCUUGCAUUCCUGGAAUAAAUACCACUUAACCAUUGUAUACCAUUCCUUUAUUGUAUUAUUAGAUUCAGUUUGCUAGUAUUUUGUUAAGGAUGUUUUGCAUUAAUGUUCAUCAGUGAUAUUGGCCUGGAAUUUUCUUUUUGUGCAGUAUCUUUGUCUGUUUUUGGUAUCUAUGUGAUGUUAGCUCAAAGAAUGAGUUUGACGGUGUUCCUUCCUCUGCAAUUCUCUUGGAGGAGUUUAAAAAGGAUAGAUGUUAACUCUUCUCUAAGUGUUUGAUAGAAUUCAUCUGUGAAGCCAUCUGAGCUAGGGCCCUGAGUCUUUGUGGAGUUCUACCCUCCUGUUUGCAUGUUUUACUGAGGGUUUUACUGAGCAUUUACUACCUGCUACUCAUCAAACCCAGUCUGCAUAAUGUUGUCAUUGUAGUGGACCAGGUGAUGUGUCAUGGGAUAGCAAGAUAUAUGUAUGUGUUUUCAGUCACUUCCACAUAGAGUUGACCAAGGCCAACCAUUCUUGUGUAGGAAUAACAUUCAAGACUCACUGUGCCUACUUUGAACAUUGUAAAACAAAAGCACAUGAACAGAUACCACACACAAAGUGAAUGUUGGCCACUGGUCCUAGAAGUGAGUGAACAGUGGAAAGUGAGGGAGGAAGAAGCAAAAUGUAAAACCUGCAAAGGCAGAAGCUAAUCUGUGGAAAUUUCUUACAAUCAUUACACAUGCAUAUCUGUAAGUAGAGGAUUUAACUAUCAUAAAUUUUAGUCCAAUGGAAAUUCUCUUUAUAUUUGAUAAUGAAGCAUGUACAAUUACAAAGCACCAUACUAUUUUUUUCUUUUUUGAUUGGAAUCAGAUAAAUAGAAUUAAUAAGAAUUCCUUUUAUUGUAGGGUAUAGAUCUAUAGAAGUAUUACACAGAGCACAAGUAUUUUUCUAUGAAAUCUCAUGUUUUAUGCAAUCCAUCUAAUGAUAAUAAAUAAAUGUUUUUCAACUACAUAGGAAAAAAUGCAUUUUGUUUCUAUUUUCUCUACUAGAAUUAUAACAAAGUGUUUGUCAUUUGGAGGGGAAAACCAAGGGUAUGGAAGCAGCUAAUUGAUUUUUUAAAAAUUGUUACUUGUCUAAGUUUUCUGAUGCUUAUGGUAUUUGUCACCCUUUUAAAAUUUUUUUUAAAUUUUUUUUAUUUUCUUCAUUCAUUCUGGAUACAUAUCCACUUUUGUAUUUGACUCUAUAUUGAUAAUUUUGUGAAUUUCUAUUUAAAAGUAUAUAAGCUUCAGGUCCACCCAAACUCAGAGCCAUUCUUGUGUAGGUGAAACAUACAAAGAUGUUCUUGUUACACCAAACCAAAUUUGAUGACUUAAUUCUAUUUUUUUUUUUUGUCUUUUCUAGGGCCGCACCCACAGCAUAUGGAGGUUCCCAGGCUAGGGGUCUAAUCAGAGCUGUACCCAGAGCCACAGCAACAUGGGAUCCAUGCAACCUACACCACAGCUUACCACAAUGCUGGAUCCUUAACUGAGCAAGACCAGGGAUCAAACCCACAACCUCAUGGUUCCUAGUCAGAUUCAUUAACCACUGAGCCAUGACAGGAACUCCUGAUAACUUAUUUCUUACACAUGUUUAAAAUCACACAAUCUUUAGAUACUAAUAUGACAUUUGUGCUUUUUUAAUCCUGAAACAGUAAACACAAGUCUAAGACUUCUAAUUAUUAUAGAAAUACAACAUUCCAUCAACAGACUUUUCAUUGAAACUAACAAAAACAAUAGUCUUGGCAUUUGCUAAGUUCCUUAUGUUAUGGUGUUACAUUUAUCAAAUAUAAAAUUUAAACUUGAUUAAAACUGAAACUAAAAAAUAUUUGUGUUCUCAAUUUUACCUCAGGACUCCACAAACAAGCCUAUAUGCCUUUUAGUUACUUAUUUGCAUAUUUAUUAUAAUACUUUCCCAGAAGAUGGCAGUAAAGAGUCUAGUUCUAAAUCAAUUUGUAUAUUACAACAAUUUCUGACCAAUGAAAAUAAAAUGCCUUGAGAAUAGGGAUUUUUUUUUUUUUGUCUGAUUUACACAAAUGCACUCUAUGGGCUAAGAAUCCUGCCAAACUGUUUCAGUUAUAAGAAUUCUAACCUAAAUUCCGUGCAUAUUUAGUUCUAUGAGUCUGAUAUCUUGUAAGGCUUCUCAGAGUUGGAGAUUACCUUACCUUGAAUCACCUUGUAGGAGAGAGGAUACAUAUUAGAAGCAGCAUGUUUUGUUUUCAGGCAGGACUUUGUUGUAUCCCUGAUGAAGGGGUAUUUUUCUGGAUCAAGUUACUGUAACUCUUGGAAAAAACUAAUCAAUUAGACAUUAAUGGUUGGUAAUUCUCAACGAAAACAUUCACUGAGUAAAGUUAAAAAUAUUCAAGACAAUCUUAUUUAACUGUGAUAUCAAUUUAUACCUAAUAUUCAUCUUACUUAAAGGUCUAGUUUUCCUUUUCAUCUAUGUAUUUAUAUAUAUAUAUGAUUAUAUGUGUGGUUAUAUUUCCACAUAUAGAAAUUUAGUUAUCAGAUAUGUGGUUUAGAAACCUAGAAUUUUCACAUGUUAAAAAAGGAAUGGAUGGUCCUAUAAAAAUCAAUGUUUGUAUGGCAUUAUUGUAAGCAAAGAAGUAAGAUAAAAUGAGUAGAAAAUCAGCACUGACAAACAGCAGGAAUGGCUUACAGGUUGAGAUUUAAGAUACUAUGUAUAGCUGGCAGUUUUGACAAUAAAGCUGGAAACAAAUAUGAAUAGUAUAAAGGCUUAGACACUAACCUUAGCUGAAAAGACCAUAUAUGGAUGUGCAGUAUUACUCUUUUAAGUAAAGAUUAACAAAUGUUGUUCCAUUUUUUAGCUGCAUAAGAUACCCAUACAUUGGGUAUAGCAUCUGCUGGCCUGAAAUUCUUGACAGAUUAGACUAACCCUAAGUCUCACUUCAAGCUAAGAAGCAUUAAAAUCCACAUUAAAAACAUUUGACAGGUGGAGCACCUCCAUGUUAAGUGAUUUUCCUUGUGCUGUAAAAAUCUAAGAUUGGUACAAAUUAGACUGUUUGUACUUAAUUUUCAUCUUUGACUAAAAACUUUAAAAGUUUAAAGAAUCUAUUUGCCAUUGAUUCAGUCUGUCAGUCAAUAAGACAGGCUUUCUUUGGGGAAUUCUCUCCUCUUUCACUGCUCUUCUGUGAUUCUGCACCACACGGGAUUCUUAAACAUCAAAAAAAAAAAA
rnacentral:lncRNA from 1 species